rnacentral:rRNA from 1 species
AUUGAACGCUGGCGGCAGGCUUAACACAUGCAAGUCGAGCGGGGUGAUGGUGCUUGCACUAUCACUUAGCGGCGGACGGGUGAGUAAUGCUUAGGAAUCUGCCUAUUAGGGGGGGACAACAUUUCGAAAGGAAUGCUAAUACCGCAUACGUCCUACGGGAGAAAGCAGGGGAUCUUCGGACCUUGCGCUAAUAGAUGAGCCUAAGUCGGAUUAGCUAGUUGGUGGGGUAAAGGCCUACCAAGGCGACGAUCUGUAGCGGGUCUGAGAGGAUGAUCCGCCACACUGGGACUGAGACACGGCCCAGACUCCUACGGGAGGCAGCAGUGGGGAAUAUUGGACAAUGGGCGGAAGCCUGAUCCAGCCAUGCCGCGUGUGUGAAGAAGGCCUUAUGGUUGUAGAGCACUUUAAGCGAGGAGGAGGCUACUUUAGUUAAUACCUAGAGAUAGUGGACGUUACUCGCAGAAUAAGCACCGGCUAACUCUGUGCCAGCCGCCGCCGUAACAC